ACGAACGCUGGCGGCGUGCUUAACACAUGCAAGUCGAACGGGUCUGCCCUGUUUUUUGCGGGGUGGGUCAGUGGCGAACGGGUGAGUAACACGUGAGUAACCUGCCCCUCACUUCUGGAUAACCGCUUGAAAGGGUGGCUAAUACGGGGUGUUCUGGCUGUGCCGCAUGGUGUGGCUGGGAAAGAUUCACUUUUGUGGUGUUUUGGUGGGGGAUGGGCUCGCGGCCUAUCCGCUUGUUGGUGGGGUGAUGGCCUGCCAAGGCUUUGACGGGUAGCCGGCCUGAGAGGGUGGGCGGUCACACUGGGACUGAGAUACGGACCAGACUCCUGCGGGAGGCAGCAGUGGGGGGUAUUGCACAAUGGGCGGAAGCCUGAUGCAGCGACGUCGCGUGAGGGAUGGAGGCCUUCGGGUUGUGAACCUCUUUCGCCGGUGAAGAAGGUCCUGCUCUUUGGGGUGGGGUUGACGGUAGCCGGGUUAUGAAGCGCCGGCUAACUACGUG
rnacentral:rRNA from 1 species